CGAGCGUGAGGGCGGCGCGAGCGGUUGCGCGAAGAACUAGUAGCGAACUACUAGCGAAUCUGGCGGAAAAACAAUCAAAACCUCUUCUGACAGUUCCCACGCGAAGCAAUUUCCUCGAAUUAACUUGCGCAGUUCUUGUGGAAAAAUCGGGAAAAUAUUGAAGAAAGUCCCGUAAAACCCAGUGAAAAGGUGUGUAAAAACUCUUGAAUAUAUUUCUUUGUGCUGCAAAGUGAGAAAAAAUAGGUGUAUUUGUGAAAAAUUGCAUCAACGGCGACCAGCGAAAUUCUCUGGAGGUGUCAUUCCACAGUUUCCAGGUAUGAAACCGCAGCAAAAAUUGCUACGGGUCCACACCAGAACAUGCUAGAGCACCCUUCAUCGCUAAUCUCCGGAAGUGAACCCCCAUUGCCCAUUCAAAAAGAGCCACGAAUCUGGCGUCCUCCCCACUUCACUGGUGAAGACCGACUGAGCGAUAUCGUCACUUGAAGUUAGCUGUGGUUACAACACCUCUCAAAGUUACACCCCAACUGGACAAUGAUUGGUACUGUUGGCUUAGAAGAGUCUUUGUCGAGACGGGCUUUCUCCCCAACUCCUCUAGGCUCAACAGUCCUACUACAAUACAUUGAUGUCACGAUGAACAGCAUCUUUUUAUUUCAAGUGGUAACAGACCAUCAGAAUGGAUUGUAUGCAAUAUCAUACGGUAUAAGAGAUCCUGGUAAAAGGCAUAUGAAUAUAUCAUUUGUGUUUUGCUGAUUUGUGUUAUAGAAACAAAUUCUAUUAGAUGGACUUAAGCUUGAAAGGCAUUCAAUUGUUCAGAAUAAUUAUAAAAAGCAAUGUAUUUAUUAAAAUCUAUUUUUAAAAUAAAUUUACUGUCUAUU